rnacentral:lncRNA from 1 species
AUAGUUUAGCUCUUCCAGCAGAACGCGGCGCUGUCAAGCUGUCAAUGUCUGUCUACCGCCUCGGAGACACAGGCCGCCGGGAAACCACAGGGUCGACGGGAACGGCGGAGUGUAGCAUCCCCGGGCCCCAAGUCCACAGUGCCUCUCCCACUUGACCUGUCGGCGCCCCUUCUCAAAGUACGGAUCUCCAAGAGGAAGGACCUCCUCCCUCUCCACUCUCAGAGUAAAGCAAGCCAGCAGCGCAAAGUGCACCUCCCGGGGACGCACAGACACGACUGAAAGCCACCACCCCAGAAACAGACCCUUCCUGGGAAAAUGCUCCUUCCAGAACCUUCUCAACACCACCCGUUUCCCCUGGGAGCGUUUACUUUGGAUCAGCGAGAUGGAAAACAAAGGCUCAGGAGAACAGGCCGGGCCCCUCCCCAGAGCCCGCCGCCAGCUGGCCCAGCUUCCUCUCGUGGUCCAGCUCGCGCUGCAGGGUGCCCGCGCGCUCCUCAGCGGCGUCCGCCUGCUCCUGCAGGCUCCGGAUCUUCCUGCGCACCGCCUCCAGCGAGCUACUCCCCGCCAUCGCGCCGGACGGUAGGCGGGCGGGAGGGCUGCAGUGGGAGAGGCCGGCUGCUGCCCUGCGGACCCGGCUGCCGCGGCUGUCCUGGCUGCCCAGCGCCGGUCCGCCCCGCCCAGGCCUCUCUGUGCGAUGGCGGCGCCCCCUGCGGCCAGGAGCAGUCCGGAAGUCGCAGCCUCCAGGGCUGCGCAGACAAACCGCAGGCGGGCGCGCGCGGCUGGGAGGGGCGCGCGCCGUGGAUCCCGGGACUGGCUGGGGGCACUGCGCAUGCUCGCGGCGGCGGGGAGAAAGGCGCUCCCGGCGCGCUGCGGGGGUACCUGGUGAGCUGGGCGCUCCGGGAGGCCACUGCACUAGGGCUCUGGCUUCCACUUCUAGGGCCCCUCCGCGGCGCGGUGGUGACCCGGGGUAACGGAGCUGGCUGCUAAGGGCAAUAGCGACUCCUGCUGGCCGCGGGAGCGCUCCGCUCCCGAGUCCAGAUUCCCAUGCCCGGGAGCCAGAGAAGCUGAGCGGCGGGUCUGGAGCCGGAAUAUGCCCUAAAGGGCCUGAUCCCAACCGCAAGAUUAUAACCCAAGCACUACCCCCAUUCCCCAAAACUUCACGAAGUGAAAACCACCCGCGUGUAGAGCACAGUGGUUAGACCUCCUGUUCUAAAUGCAGUUUUCCUAGGUUGACUCUGGCUCCUAGUUUCCUGCUGCGUGACUUCGGACACAUUACCUGUCUUCUCUGGGCGUCAUCUGUAAAAGUGGGAAUAAUAAUAGUACUUUCCCCAUGGGGCUGCUAUGAGAAUUAUGAAGGACUGUAAAGCGCUUAGCACAAUACCUUGUACAUAGUUAAAAACUCAAAUGAUAGCUACGAUUAAGAAAUACACAAGCAUUGUUUUAAGAGUCA